ensembl:lncRNA
AUGGCGUCGCACCUGGGUGUGCGAACGCCGUCGCUGUCGCUUCGUCACGGAAUUAGGUGCAUCACUCAAGUUGGUAUAACAGUAGAGGAUGUGUUGCUGGAUGUAGCUGAGCGAGUGGGACAUGAAAACAUCAUUUCCGCGUCUCGAAUGAACAAGGCCGUGGUGGUCUUUUUGAAGGAGGAACUACUAGUCAAUCGUUUGGUUGAGAGCGGCAUAGUGGUAAGUGGAGCGUUUGUCAUUGUUCAACCUUUAAUGUCUCCAACUGUGAAAGUAGUAAUUUCAAAUGUGCCGCCAUUUAUUCCUGAUGAAGAUAUACAGCGUGAGCUUUUGAGGUAUGGGAAAUUUGCGAGUGGAAUUAAGAUGAUACCGCUUGGAUGUAAAAAUGAGUCUUUGAAGCAUGUGUUGUCUUUCAGACGGCAGGUGUUUAUGUUUUUGAAUGCCCCAACAUUAAACGUGUCUUUUCGUUGCGUGUACGAAGGAAAAUCGUACAUGUUGUAUGCGAACGCUGGGGAAUUGCGCUGUUAUGGUUGCGGGGCUGUAGGACACGUAAGAUUGACAUGCCCGCAAAGAGAAGAAGUGACGAAUGAGACAGAUACGAAUGGUUGUGCAGAGCAAACCGUGGAAGGAAAAGUGGAAAAUGAAGAUCAAAAUGUGCUUAAUAACAAGGAUUUAGGUAGUGUUGGUGCUGAGAGCGGGUCUAAUAAUACUGAAGUGUCUACUGAAGUGGUAGAGAAUGUGAAUGGUGAGAUAGAGCUGAUUGAGGAGAUGGUGAUGAAGGAAACUGAGAAGAAUACAGAGCAAGUGGAGAAGGUAGAGCAUGGUGAGGAAGUGAUGUCAGUUGAUAGAGAUCAAUCAAGUAAUAGCAUUGUGAAUUCAGAGGGUAAGAAUUCAGAAGAGAGAAUUGAAAAUGAAGGAGAGGAAGAAAGUGAUGAUGAUUUGUCAGAUGUAUCAGAUGUGUCAAAUUUAUCUCAGAUGGGAGGUGACCAGUUUUACACUUUGGAGGAAAUAGAUGCUUUUCUGGAUGAGACUUUCGGGAAGGUAGCAGAAGUGAAGGAUUACUUUACUGACACUAAGAAAUUUGAAAGUUCUGCAUUAUACUGGAUGAAACGAGUUGGAGAGGACAAACUGAGUAGGAGGAAGAGGUAUCGAUUGAGAAAGUUUGUCACGAAAAUAAGAAGGGGGAAAGCC